rnacentral:rRNA from 1 species
GACCAACGCUGGCGGCGUGCCUAAUACAUGCAAGUUGAGCGAUGAAGAUUGGUGCUUGCACCAAUUUGAAGAGCAGCGAACGGGUGAGUAACGCGUGGGGAAUCUGCCUUUGAGCGGGGGACAACAUUUGGAAACGAAUGCUAAUACCGCAUAACAACUUUAAACAUAAGUUUUAAGUUUGAAAGAUGCAAUUGCAUCACUCAAAGAUGAUCCCGCGUUGUAUUAGCUAGUUGGUGAGGUAAAGGCUCACCAAGGCGAUGAUACAUAGCCGACCUGAGAGGGUGAUCGGCCACAUUGGGACUGAGACACGGCCCAAACUCCUACGGGAGGCAGCAGUAGGGAAUCUUCGGCAAUGGACGAAAGUCUGACCGAGCAACGCCGCGUGAGUGAAGAAGGUUUUCGGAUCGUAAAACUCUGUUGGUAGAGAAGAACGUUGGUGAGAGUGGAAAGCUCAUCAAGUGACGGUAACUACCCAGAAAGGGACGGCUAACUACGUG